rnacentral:rRNA from 1 species
CCUACGGGUGGCAGCAGUGAGGAAUAUUGGUCAAUGGGCGGGAGCCUGAACCAGCCAAGUCGCGUGAGGGAAGACGGUCCUACGGGUUGUAAACCUCUUUUGUCGGGGAGCAAAGCGAACCACGUGUGGUUCAUUGAGAGUACCCGAAGAAAAAGCAUCGGCUAACUCCGUGCCAGCAGCCGCGGUAAUACGGAGGAUGCGAGCGUUAUCCGGAUUUAUGGGGUUUAAAGGGUGCGCAGGCGGAGGUGCAAGUCAGCGGUAAAAUUGCGGGGCUCAACCCCGUACUGCCGUUGAAACUGCAUCCCUUGAGUGCGCGAGAAGUAUGCGGAAUGCGUGGUGUAGCGGUGAAAUGCAUAGAUAUCACGCAGAACUCCGAUUGCGAAGGCAGCAUGCCGGCUCCACACUGACGCUGAGGCACGAAAGCGUGGGUAUCGAACAGGAUUAGAUACCCCUGUAGUC